AGUCCCUUGACGCCACUACUCUCCAUAACAAACUCCGCAUGGCCCUGAACAGCUCACUACCAAGCGGUUAAAGACAUCGCUGUCAAUCAGUUACACUCUCCAUCUAUAAAAAGGGACCCCCAGAUAUGUUCUUCUCUAAGCUCUAAACUCUAUCCUGAAACUCUGCUAAAAUCUCAUUUGAGUGCUCCAUUUCUGUUGAGGUAGAGUACUGAUUUG
rnacentral:lncRNA from 1 species